rnacentral:lncRNA from 1 species
UAUGGAGGUAAAGCUUAAUCAAUUCUCAUUUACCUGAUCUAAUCAUAGAGAAAAUCCUACCCUAGUUAAGUUGGAUAGAUGCUUAGUCUCGAUGGAGUGGGUAGCAGCCUUCCCAUAUCAUAAUUUGAGAUCUUUUGCAAAGACCACCUCGGAUCAUCACCCUUUACUAACCGUCAUGCAAAAAAAUAUUAGUAAGCCUUUUCGAUUCGAGGACUUCUGGUUCACAGUGAAUGGCUUCUCGGAUCA